rnacentral:snoRNA from 1 species
UUGGCCCCGAAUCAAGGCCAGCAGUUUGCUAAAGCUGUUGGUUUCAAGCGAGAGCCUAAAGAAGUGUCUUUCUAUAGUCUGUUGGCCAUUUCAGAACUUGGGAAAUCUGGAGUUCCC